UUCGAUUUACAGCGAUAGUAUGUAUUUUUAUCAAUAAAAUAUUCACAUAGUCAAGAUCGGAUGACUUCAUAUUUUUUCAUAAGGAUAUGUUAAUUUGUAAAGUAAUACGAUCAGUAAUGAGAGAAACUAGUUCUUUAGCUAUUAAAUAACCGUCAAGUAAGGUUAUUAAUGCACUACAAUAUUUGUAGAUGUUGUAAAUUGACUAUACCGCAUACAAGUAUUUAGACUUUUCAGAGGCAGGCUUUUUUUUGGUCUCCUGACCAAUUGACCAGUGGAGGGCGGAAGUCCGGCGAUUUCCAGGAGGAAGGAGUAUGGAGGGCGGGGCAUGUCGGAGUCGAACUAACUAAAAUCUCCUGUCGCUCAACAACCCACAUCCGAACCUCGCAUGAGACAGAACUUAUGAAAAGGCAAAGGGGGAAAGUGAAGCGUUUAGUGCGGAGCACAUCUCACCCAUCACCCUCCUUCAAAGGCAGGCUAGCAUACGAAUUGCUAGACGAUAGUAGUUACGGUCGCUUAAGAAUGUUAGCUAUGAUUGGGAAGCCGCAGAGUCGCUGCUCCGGUUGUCUCAGACAGUCUCUCUUUAAGUCUCUCAAGUUGAACAAGUACAUGAGAAAACGCACAGGAAGCACUCUGGACUUUAUUUAAUUCCAGGGUCAGAUUGUUUGAUUAUUAAUUCCAGCAGGAAGCUAAAACUGUUAGUUUGAUUUUGACAUAAAAUAUCAAAAAAUCGGUUGUCUGUAAAGUCGGUUUACUGACGAUAGUUGAACGUGACAAAUAAGAAAAUACUGAUGGAAUGGUUUCAUUUUUCAAUUAUCGCAAUUAUCGUUGCUAUAAACAAUUGACACCACAUUCACUUUUCACUGAACUUCAUACUUGACGAAAACAUGUACGCCUCAGAGUGAGGUAACGCCGCAUGAGUCGUGUUUUUUCGUGCGUGCAGCCGGCUCCAUCGAAUUAUAAGACGUUGUCACGUCAAAAUGAUAUGAUUUUUCGCUAUGAAAUUGGGAAACGGGUUGAAGUCCUCAUAUUUUCACAACUGAUAUAAAGUAAGAUUUAUUUUUAAUUAUAGAUAAGUGAUAGUUCUGGGCCAAUUUUAAAUUAAGGGAUCGAUAUAUCAGUGGUUAGUUAGUCUAGCAAUUCUAUGACCCGGGUUUUUUUUACCUAAAUAAUUAAACUAAAACAUCACAAAGUUUUUGGAUUGUUGUAUCAUGGUGUGUAUUUAAUAUGCGUAUUUUUAAUUAGGAUAAUUUAUUUUCAGUGAUUUCCAUUAGUAUUUACAUGAUCUAAAUUUGAAAGAUCUAAUUUUGAUUGACAAGGUCGACAGUAGGCAGCGGCUUGGCUAGCAGUAGGCAGCGGCUUGGCUCUGCUCCUGGCAUUGCUGAAGUCCAUGGGCGACGGUAACCACUUACCAUCAGGUGGGCCGUACGCUCGUCUGCCUACAAAGGCAAUAAAAAAAAAACUUCGAAAUUGUAUGACAAAAAGGUCAUGGUGGAAAUUUAAUAAUAUGUUUUUUUGUAUAUGUAACAGAAAACGACAAAGACGUUCGCUAAAACAUAAAGAGUUUGAGGAACUUAUCAGGUUUUUCUUUACUUAAUAGUGAAAUCUAUGAAAUAAAUUAGUUAUGUAUUAAUAUGUUUGUUUAUAUAUUCACAAAACGAAUGGCAUAUCAAGUCGAUUUACCUCUUAAUUGUAUUCAUGAUUUUAAAGUUAUGUUAUUUUUAUCAGGUUAACCUUGGCUCGUAGACGCAACCCGCCGCAAAGUUAACUUGAUUUAAUUAACAAAAUUAACUACUGACAUUUAAUAUCGUAUAAUUAGAAUAGCGUCUGUGGACAUUUGGGUGUUUUCGCAAUAUCGUAUAAUAAUACAUAGAAUAUUUUGUAUUCAUUAAUUGCUUCAUACUGUUUCAUAGAUGUUUGUUUUUUGUCUAAAUUUAAUUUGUACUUCUUUUGCUAGAAUAUAUUGUCCUGCAUAUAAAAUAUUUAAUUUAAAA